GAGUUGUAUGGAAGGAGAGGUUAGCACUCCCCUUGACAAGGACGGAAGAGGCCCUUGGGCCUAACAACGCAUUUUCGGUUAAGGCACUGCCACCUCCUUCGUGGCACCUAACUGCUGCUUUUU
ensembl:snRNA predicted gene, 23336